rnacentral:rRNA from 1 species
GGCUCCGGCCCUAUCAGCCUGAAGGCGCCCGAUCUCGUCUAAUCUCGGAAGCUAAGCAGGGGCGGGCCUGGUUAGUAUCUUGGAUGGGAGACCACCGUGGGAAUCCCGGGUGCUCGAGGUC